rnacentral:rRNA from 14 species
UGAGAGGAUGAUCAGCAACACUGGGACUGAGACACGGCCCAGACUCCUACGGGAGGCAGCAGUGGGGAAUCUUAGACAAUGGGCGCAAGCCUGAUCUAGCCAUGCCGCGUGAGUGACGAAGGCCUUAGGGUCGUAAAGCUCUUUCGCCUGUGAUGAUAAUGACAGUAGCAGGUAAAGAAACCCCGGCUAACUCCGUGCCAGCAGCCGCGGUAAUACGGAGGGGGUUAGCGUUGUUCGGAAUU